CCUACGUGAGGCAGCAGUGAGGAAUAUUGGUCAAUGGGCGCAGGCCUGAACCAGCCAAGUCGCGUGAGGGAUGACGGUCCUAUGGAUUGUAAACCUCUUUUGUCGGGGAGCAAAGGACGCCACGUGUGGCGUUUUGCGAGUACCUGAAGAAAAAGCAUCGGCUAACUCCGUGCCAGCAGCCGCGGUAAUACGGAGGAUGCGAGCGUUAUCCGGAUUUAGUGGGUUUAAAGGGUGCGCAGGCGGAAUGUCAAGUCAGCGGUAAAAUUGCGGGGCUCAACCCCGUCGUGCCGUUGAAACUGGCGUUCUUGAGUGAGCGAGAAGUAUGCGGAAUGCGUGGUGUAGCGGUGAAAUGCAUAGAUAUCACGCAGAACUCCGAUUGCGAAGGCAGCAUACCGGCGCUCAACUGACGCUCAUGCACGAAAGUGUGGGUAUCGAACAGGAUUAGAUACCCUAGUAGUC
rnacentral:rRNA from 1 species